CCUACGGGAGGCAGCAGUGGGGAAUAUUGGGCAAUGGGCGCAAGCCUGACCCAGCGACGCCGCGUGAAGGAAGAAGGCUUUCGGGUUGUAAACUUCUUUUGUCAGGGACGAAACAAGUGACGGUACCUUACGAAUAAGCCACUGCUAACGACGUGCCAGCAGCCGCGGUACUACGUAGGUGGCAAGCGUUAUCCGGAUUUACUGGGUGUAAAGGGCUUGUAGGCGGGACUGCAAGUCAGAUGUGAAAACCACGGGCUCAACCUGUGGCCUGCAUUUGAAACUGUAGUUCUUGAGUACAGGAGAGGUAGACGGAAUUCCUAGUGUAGCGGUGAAAUGCGUAGAUAUUAGGAGGAACACCAGUGGCGAAGGCGGUCUGCUGGACAGCAACUGACGCUGAGGCGCGAAAGCGUGGGGAGCAAACAGGAUUAGAUACCCGAGUAGUC
rnacentral:rRNA from 1 species